CCUCCACCUUGGUGUCGCGGUCCAUGGAGGAGAGUAGCCCGACCCGGAUGUUCUGUUCCGGGUUAAGAUGUUAUACGGAAUCCACGCUGCCUCUGAGGUUUCGUUAUGGGAAUUAGGGAGAGGGACAGUGAAUCGGGCGCAAGGAGGAGAUGAUACGGUGAGGCCGAAAAAGGGUGGCUGAGGUGCGCUGGACGGCUACUGAUUUGGAGACCAGGCCUUCCUUCCCUUGUUUCUUUGCUGCCCCUUUUUCAACCUUGCCGAAGCAAUUUUCUUCCUCCUCCCUUGGCCAAGCUCUCUGUUUCCUAGCUCUGUCCGCCGCCCCUUAUUCUCUCAAAACCCUCCAGCCCAAGACUUUCUCUCUCUCCCCAGCCAAAUGAAGCUCCCUUGUUUUUUCUUUGUUUUCUGAUUUUUUUCCCGUCACCUCUGUUCCUUAGCCGAAGACUUUUUCUCUGUUUCUUCUUUAGCUUCUUCCUAGCCCUCCUCCUAUUUUUGCUCUUCAUCUGCAAAACCCCUCAGCCCCCUUUCUCCCUCUGCCUUUUUCUUCUUCGCCCGAAGCUUUUCUAUUUUCUUGCUCUCAGUUCUGACUCUCAGCCGCCAAGCUUCCCCGUUUUCCAGUUUUCUUUUUUCCUUUUUUGUUGUCCGGCCAAGCUUCUCCUCAGACGAAACCCUUUUCUGUUUUUUUUUUUUUUUUUUUAGCCCUCACAAAAUUCUACUUUGACCCCCAAAAAUUUCUUAACUUCCCAAAUGUCCCUAACACCUCACCCCUUAGGUGCUUAGUUGUCUAAAACAUAGAAAAGACACUUGUCCAAGUGCAUGUAGUCCCACUUGUCAUUUUCACCUUUUUUUCUUUUUCCUUUUCUCUUUUUCUUUUGUUUUUUUCCUGAAAUUUAAUGUGAAGCCAAAAAUAGCUAGAACAAAAACAAAAUAAAUAACAAUAAUAAAAAUAAAAUAAUAAAAUAAUAAUAAAUAAUAAUAAUAAAUGAAAACUCUAAAAUUGAAACAAAUAAAGCUAAGAUUAAAUUAAUUAAACAAAUAAAGUUAAAAAAUAAAAAUUUGGUGUCUACAGCUGUUAAUCCCCCUCCCCAACACAAACAAAAACGUCUUCAGUACUCUUUACACUCUCAAUCCCUCGGUCAACUCCUUUAUUCUUAACCCCCUUUAUUCACUUUUUAAAACCUUAGCAGCAGUGGAGGCGGCAGCCACCGUCAUCAAAGAUGCAAAUCUUAGUGAAAACCCUGACAGGGAAGACCAUCACCCUUGAGGUGGAGUCUUUCGACACCAUCGGCAAUGUCAAGGCCAAAAUCUAGGACAAUGAGGGCAUUCCCCCAGACCAGCAGCAGUUCAUCUUCACCGACAAGCAGCUGGAGGAUGGCCGCACCCUAGCCAACUACAACAUCCUCAAGGAGUCCACCCUCCACCUCAUCUGCCGCCUCCCAUAGAAUAGAAAACAAAACACAGUUCUCCACCAAUUGUCUAACGAUUGGUUAUCCUUCUGCGAUGUUGAAGGGUAAAAGUUCGCUACCAACUCUCUACAACAAAGGGUAGGUUCUCUUAUGUACAUUUUCUCUCCCUAAUUUUCCCCCAAUUUUUAUUUGCCCUAAUUUUUUUGCCAAAAAUUUCUCCGCUGGAGCCUGUGCUUCAGACCAGCUUUGUAUAUGUUAGCCAUUCUUCCCGAACUCAUUUGCCAAAACCAAUGUUAUUUGGCUCUUAAGGUUUUCGAAGAAAUUCAGGAGUAUUUUUGUAGGCCUCAAAUAUCACUGUAUGCUGAAUUGGUCUACUUUUGGGAAGCAAUGGAUUCCUUGAAGAGGUUGAACUUCUUUUCAUUAAAUUGAAAAAGGAACCUUGUUUAGAGCCUGAUAUUAAUGAUUUUAAUGCAUUGCUAGAGAUUUUAGCAAAUUUCAACCUCAUUGGGCUAGCGGUUGAGUGCUUUUACCUGAUGAAAUCUAUAGGUUGUGACCUGGAUAUUGUCAUUCAAGAUAUUAAUCAAUGUUUUACAGACAAAUGAGGAAGCAAUUUUUUUAGCUUUUUAUGACUGGAAGCCCAGAAAUAUUUUGGUCAAUCUCUGAAUUUUGAGGGGGAGAAGGAUACUUAUUGAGCUCAAACUGACUUGGUUACGCUGGCAGGAUGCAAUCUGAUAGACCUCCCAUUGCAAGUCUUUAGCAUUUUCUACCCUGUUAGGAAAGUUCUUUCACUUUUUUUUAGCAGUUAGAAGCUAUUUAAAUAUUUGUAGCCAAAUUUUUCAGUGACUUUAAAAUCUUACUUAUGGAGACAAGUGCAAUGGUUAUGCUUUGCAGCUAAAAAAAUGAUUUAAUUGGUGAUGCAAUCAACAAAUUAUUUGUUUGAGUCAAAAGCUUAAAAGUUUGUUAUGUUAGUGGAUCUUCAAGAUUGGCUUGGGGAAACUGAAAAGAAGAAGAGAUGAAAUUAAAAUAUGUAAGACCCAAUUCAUGCUGAAGUAUCCAACUUUCACUUAUCAUACCAAACUAAGAAUCACUCUCCUUUGCCCAAUAUAUCAUUGCAACCGAUAUAAUGCUAUUGUUUUGAGUUAUGAUUAGUCUCUAUGAUUAGGUAGCUUAUGUUAUUUUGGUGUUAACCAUUACAAGUUUGGAGCAAAAUUAUGCUUAGUCUCUAUGGUUGGGUAGCUUAUGUCAUUUCAGUGUUAACCAUUACAGGUUUGGAGCAAAAUUAUGACUUCAUCAAUCAGAUUCCAUUUAGACAAAGACGCUCCGGUUUCCUCUAUUAGUUAUAAUUUGUUGAUUCUUUAUCAUUAGGUAAGAUAGGACAUCUGAAAUCAUGUUAUUUUAUUAAUCAUUUGCAAAAUUUCUAGGAUAGCAAAGUACUUGCUAACAAUAACUACUGAGGCCUCUGAUGUUCAUAGGCCUUCAUGACUAUCUCAACAUUUCUUUUUCUUCUUUUGUAAACUUUUGUUUAAAUACAUUAACACGUUUUAUGUGGCUAAAUUGCAGGUUUUUCAAGUUGUACUUUAGAACUAUUUUGGAAGGAGCAAGAUGAUUAUCUAUUUCUCAUGAGUUAAGUGCUCCACUUGGUAUCAAUUUGUAAUAAAAUUUCAUCAAGUUUAAUUUUUUGGGUCAAAAUUUAUUCUGUAAUUUGUGUGGCUAAAUUGCAAGUUUUUUAAGUUGUACUUUGGAGCUUGUUUUGGAAGAGCAGGGUGAUUAUCUAGUCGCAUGAAUUGGGUGCUCCACUUGGUAUCAUUCUUAAAUAAAGUUCAUCAUGUUUUAAUUUUUUUUGUUCAAAAUAUAGCCUAUAAUGGCUAAAAGUAUUAUUUUUGUGAUUAGAGAAGUGGAACAUGGUAAUUGGAACCAAAGAUAGGACUCAUUUUUUGGUUAGAGUUGACAUGCUAUUUAGAUGCAUUUAAACCAAAAUAGCGUGAAUUAAUGCCAUGCAAAAAUUAGUUAAUUUCUCCUAGAAUUGAUGGAUUUGUUAUUAUUUCUAGCAAUUGAGCUCUGGACAUAGGCUCAGGAUAUCUACUAGGAUAUUGUUGGUCUUUCAAUCAGGCUGUACUUCUCGUUUUUGGGUAUCUUUAAGCAUGUUUUUGAGGUUGUUCUAUGUGAGGGCCCGUACU
rnacentral:lncRNA from 1 species